UACGAAGGGGGCUAGCGUUGUUCGGAAUCACUGGGCGUAAAGGGCGCGUAGGCGGGCUGACAAGUCUGGGGUGAAAUGCCGCGGCUCAACCGUGGAACUGCCUUAGAUACUGUCGGCCUCGAGGGAGGUAGGGGCAUGCGGAACUGUGGGUGGAGCGGUGAAAUGCGUUGAUAUCCUCAGGAACUCCGGUGGCGAAAGCGGCGUGCUGGACCUCUUCUGACGCUGAGGCGCGAAAGCUAGGGGAGCAAACGGG
rnacentral:rRNA from 1 species